CGGCUACUCCAGCAUAAACGAGCCUGCCCGUAUGAGCGGCACGUGCUCCACUGCUUAACGCAAGAGGAACCCGUAUCGAUUAUUUUUUUCUUGCUCUUCUGUUCGUAUCAUCACGACUGCCAAAGCGCCGCUGAUGUUUGUCAUUCAGUGGUACACGGCCGCGCUCAUCCUCGCGGAUGUGUACGAGCUGCUUCAGCUGCGGCAGGCCAAUCCGAAAGGCUUAGAGCAUGGCACCUGGUGGUUCGACAGCAAGGCUAACGCGCCGCUUGCGGCAGCAUUGUAUGGUGGCCUGCUCGUGUUCUUGAUGCUUUCACGUCUGUUUGUGUUGCUAGAGCCACUGAACCGGUGGCUGCUGAUGCUCAACACAAUCCAUGAGGGCAUCCGCCUGGUGCUCUACUUGCUCCUUUUUACUCAGCACAGUGGUGCGACGCAGCUCAACACGAUCCUUCUGACAUUCACGUUGUGGAACACGCUUCUGUACGGGCGACAGUACUACAUCAUCAUGUGUAUGCUGCGGGAGCACAGCAAGUGACGCUAUCCCCCUCCCCCGUAUUGGUCGUACACACGCACGCAUGGAAGCCGCUGCGCGCCAUGUGUGUGCGUGUGUGGAGGGAGGGAGAUGAACCGUGUUGACGUCGCGCAGUGUCGAUGGCAAGCUCGCACCCUUCGAUAGCCUUGGCUCUUCGUGUUUCUACUUGUACGUGUACUGCUUCUCCCGUGGGCGCGGGGCUCAUGCCAUGCGGAUAGGCAAGAAAAAU
rnacentral:misc_RNA from 1 species